rnacentral:rRNA from 1 species
UGGGGAAUUUUGGACAAUGGGGGAAACCCUGAUCCAGCCAUCCCGCGUGUGCGAUGAAGGCCUUCGGGUUGUAAAGCACUUUUGGCAGGAAAGAAACGUCAUGGGUUAAUACCCCGUGAAACUGACGGUACCUGCAGAAUAAGCACCGGCUAACUACGUGCCAGCAGCCGCGGUAAUACGUAGGGUGCAAGCGUUAAUCGGAAUUACUGGGCGUAAAGCGUGCGCAGGCGGUUCGGAAAGAAAGAUGUGAAAUCCCAGAGCUCAACUUUGGAACUGCAUUUUUCACUACCGGGCUAGAGUGUGUCAGAGGGAGGUGGAAUUCCGCGUGUAGCAGUGAAAUGCGUAGAUAUGCGGAGGAACACCGAUGGCGAAGGCAGCCUACUGGGAUAACACUGACGCUCAUGCACGAAAGCGUGGGGAGCAAACAGG